GGAUGUGAGGGCGAUCUGGCUGCGACAUCUGUCACCCCAUUGAUCGCCAGGGUUGAUUCGGCUGAUCUGGCUGGCUAGGCGGGUGUCCCCUUCCUCCCUCACCGCUCCAUGUGCGUCCCUCCCGAAGCUGCGCGCUCGGUGGAAGAGGACGACCAUCCCAGAUAGAAGGAGUGUACCGUUCUUCGGUCAAGGGUAUACGAUAGCUGCGCUCCCCUGCUAGAACCUCCAAACAAGCUCAAGGUCCUGACAGUGUGACCAGCCACUUUCUUCCUCCACCUUUCACUUUCAACGUUUAUUUUCAGAGU